UACAGAGGGGGCAAGCGUUGUUCGGAAUUACUGGGCGUAAAGGGCGCGUAGGUGGCCCGCUAAGUCGAACGUGAGAUCCCCGAGCUCAACUCGGGAACUGCGUCCGAUACUGGUGGGCUUGAAUCCGGGAGAGGGAUGCGGAAUUCCCGGUGUAGCGGUGAAAUGUGUAGAGAUCGGGAGGAACACCGGUGGCGAAGGCGGGUCUCUGGGCAGUAACUGACGCUGAGGAGCGAAAGCGUGGGGAGCGAACAGG
rnacentral:rRNA from 1 species